CUGGACCUAUCCGGCUUGGCACGCAGACGGUCGCUCCGGGCGUUGGUGUGGGCAGAGAACUGUUGGCUGGAUCCAGUACGUUUGUCAUGCAGCCAUCUUCAAGAGCAAGGCCUGCUGGAGCCAGGACGAGAGCUUCGAACAGCCAUGAUUCCUGCCGUGAUUGUGGGAACGGCGCCUGGCCAGGUGGACAACGUGGCUCAGGAGGAGCGCCUCGUACACGCUCGACGGCAACCUGGACCGUAGUAGCUGAUGGUCGACCGAUAUCCUGGGGCUUCCUCCGCUAAGUGGUCUUCCCAGCAAAGUCCGCUUCGCGACGACUCGCAGCGUGUGUUGCAGUCUUUCAACGAUCUCACGCUCGUAGAACGCCACCCCAGCGACCGUCAAGUUCCGAAGACGAACGACGCUUGCUGUGCCCUACAUGCAUGGUCCCAGAAAUUCAUCGGGAAGCUCACCGUCGUGGAUUGCUGCACUGCACUAAGACAGAAGCCGCGUGUCAUGCCAGGGCCGCCGAUAACUACGUGGAAGCAGCCAUCUCCUUGUUAACAAGACGUCGCCCCGAACUGUUUGCGUCUGAUGAGCGAGCACCACCACGGAGACAUCCCCGACAUUUGAGUACGACGUUUCGCCCCGACUGAUUGUGCAGCACCGUAAACCACUUUCUUUGUUGACCUUCUGUUUUGUUGAGUUAGCGAAACUGUGUUAUGGAUGUUGUGUCCAGUUUUGGGGGUAAGGGGAUGUGGGGAACAGAUUAUCUCGAAUGUUAUAUAAAUUUGCGAAGCUAUCACUGAUGCCGUGUUUUCUGUACUGCCGCGGGCAUCGCUCUCAAGUUGAGAACCUAAUGAUGUGUGAUUAGGUCAUCACUUAGGUUCGCUCCGGGCGUUGAUGUGGGCAUUGAACGGUUGGUGCGGUAAUAAACUGUUUGUUUGUUA